rnacentral:misc_RNA from 1 species
CCGAGUUAGGGUCUCCUCCGUGAGGCCCGACCUCCCAACCCUGUGUCUAACAAACCUGUUUGUGUUGCUUCGGCGGAACGGCAGUGACCUAUUCGCCCCCCCUUCACCGGGGGGGACGGUUGUCCGUCGCCGGGGGAUUCACGGUCUCACGACCGCCCCUGGAGAGCGUCCGCCGAUGGCCCCCAACCAAAAAAACUACCAAACCCAAAUUGUGAAACAUAACUUCUGAAUCAGACCUUUUGAUAUACCAAUCAAAAACA